CCAUAUCACGUUGAAACAUUGGUUACCCUAUAAUCACAGAUGUUAAGCAACGUCGAGCUUGGUAAGUACCUUGAUGGGUGAUCGCUUGGGAAUUUCAGGUGCUGUCAG